rnacentral:pre_miRNA from 1 species
UUUCGUGAGCUUAAGUAGAUUCUAUUUGGCUAUGUUUAAUUAUUCAAGCCGGAUUGAGUUUACUUAUUCUUACGACAG